GCCCCGGCGCAUCCGGGGUCCGUAGGCCUCGCCGAGCCUCCCUUUCCUCACCACUGCGUACUAGAGCCCGAAGCCUAGCGAACUCCACUUGCCCCGGCUUCCUCCGACUCCCUACCCCGGAUAGGCCUCGUUGAAGCCCCGGGCUCCACCCUGAGCUCUCUGUUCCUGUAGCACGGCUUCGGCCCUCCAGUCGCUACCUCGACCUCGCCUGUCUGUACCCCACCGGGCGCACCUUUGAAUAGGUAAUCGUACUCGUCGUCCCGGGUCCCCAUUGUCCUGGCGCUUCCGGCGGGAUCGGCGACUCCGCAGCCCCACCACAAACACCCGUCGGGGGCGGAACCGGCGCCGCGUAGAGCGGCGGUCUGAUGGCCAGUCAACGGUGAAAGCGGUAGUGACAGGCACCUGGACAAGCCAAUCAGGCUGAGAAACCGAGCUUAGGGGGGGUAGGAGCCUCUUGGGAUCCACCCUUCUAGCCCUCGGUCUCCCGGAGAAAGGCGGAAGGAAUGCGGACCUUUUCGAAAUGACUGAUUCAGCAGCCUAUCAAAAGCAGAUGGGGGAAGGCGGGACGGAACACUUGAACAGUGAAGUGGAUUGACAGAGGUCUCCCUGUGUAGCUCUAGAUAGCCUUGAACUUGAUGUGUAACACUGAGAGAUCCACCUGGCUCUGCCCCCCAAAACACGCCACCUCAUGCUAGCCAACUUUGAACUUAUGAUUCUCUUGUACACUGGUAACUUAGACGUUACCUCUUGGGGGCUGGAGAGAUGGCUCAGUGGUUAAGAGACUGACUGCUCUUCUGGAGGUCCUGAGUACAAUUCCCAGCGACCACAUGGUGGCUCAGAACCAUCUGUAAUGGGAUCUGAUGCCCUCUUCUGGUGUGUCUGAAGACAGCUACAGUGUACUCGUCACAUAUAUAAAAUAAAUAAAUAAAAUCUUUAAAAAAAAAGUU
ensembl:processed_transcript